UUACAAUUAAAUAUCGUACCAUAGACAGUAGGAGCGUAUGCUUAAAAAAUAAUCCUACUUAGGUAAUAUAAAAGUUUUUUAGCCUAUUUUUGUCUAUGUUAUGAUAAUAAUAGGUUUUUUAUUUUAUAA
rfam:Peptoanaerobacter stomatis strain OBRC8 ctg120007290631, whole genome shotgun sequence.